GAUGAAGAACGUAGCGAAAUGCGAUAAGUAAUGUGAAUUGCAGAAUUCAGUGAAUCAUCGAAUCUUUGAACGCACAUUGCGCCCCUUGGUAUUCCGAGGGGCAUGCCUGUUCGAGCGUCAUUAUAACCCCUCAAGCUCAGCUUGGUGUUGGGGCCUGCUGCACUGGCAGCCCUUAAAAUCAGUGGCGGCGCCAUCUGGCUCUAAGCGUAGUAAUUCUUCUCGCUAUGGAGUCCUGGUGGAUGCUUGCCAUCAACCCCCAAUUUUUCUUUGGUUGACCUCGGAUCAGGUAGGGAUACCCGCUGAACUUAAGCAUAUCAAUAAGCGGAGGA
rnacentral:misc_RNA from 1 species